UACGUAGGUGGCGAGCGUUGUCCGGAAUUACUGGGCGUAAAGGGUGCGCAGGCGGAAUAUUAAGUCAGAUGUGAAAUCCCAGGGCUUAACCUUGGAGUUGCAUUUGAAACUGGUAUUCUAGAGUACAGGAGAGGAAAGCGGAAUUCCUAGUGUAGCGGUGAAAUGCGUAGAUAUUAGGAAGAACACCAGUGGCGAAGGCGGCUUUCUGGACUGUAACUGACGCUGAGGCACGAAAGCGUGGGGAGCAAAC
rnacentral:rRNA from 1 species